GACGAACGCUGGCGGCGUGCUUAACACAUGCAAGUCGAACGAUGAUGCCCAGCUUGCUGGGUGGAUUAGUGGCGAACGGGUGAGUAACACGUGAGUAACCUGCCCCUGACUCUGGGAUAAGCGUUGGAAACGACGUCUAAUACUGGAUAUGACUGCCGGCCGCAUGGUCUGGUUGUGGAAAGAUUUUUUGGUUGGGGAUGGACUCGCGGCAUAUCAGCUUGUUGGUGAGGUGAUGGCUCACCAAGGCGACGACGGGUAGCCGGCCUGAGAGGGUGACCGGCCACACUGGGACUGAGACACGGCCCAGACUCCUACGGGAGGCAGAAGUGGGGAAUAUUGCACAAUGGGCGAAAGCCUGAUGCAGCAACGCCGCGUGAGGGAUGACGGCCUUCGGGUUGUAAACCUCUUUUAGUAGGGAAGAAGCGUAAGUGACGGUACCUGCAGAAAAAGCACCGGCUAACUACGUGCCAGCCGCCGCGGUAA
rnacentral:rRNA from 1 species